rfam:Chelonia mydas contig252245, whole genome shotgun sequence.
CCGCUCAGCCUUCAGCAGCACAUAUACUGACAUUGGAAUGAUACAGAGAAGAUUAGCAAGGCCUCUGCGUAGGGCUGACACGCAAAUUCAUGAUGCGGCCCGUAAGGCA